CUACUGUGUGCUUGGCUCAGCAUCUCCAUUUGAUUAGAUCUGUACAGUGUGAUUCUGUGUAUGGUGUAUUGAUCUCACUAGAAGUAAUUUGGUGAAGACAAAAGUGGAACUGUUGGGGCACCAAGCCCUGAUUUUUUUUAUUUAACAACCCCACAAGUGCUCUUCUAAACCAGACAUCCUUGAAGAGUCUAAUGGCCUAUAGAAAUGAAACAUGCUUGCAGCUGGCAAAGGAGGUGCAAAAAGACUGGGCUUUUUUUAAACUUUGUUUUUAUUAUAGGUUCACACAAAUCCUGGUACAAGGGGAAAAAAAGAGAGUAGUUAUUCUACAAACCCUACCUCUCCCAUUCCUGCACAGCUUUGUAGCUGUCCCCUAUUUACAUACCACUGCAGAGAGCAGCCAUACAGAGCGAGCACAGGUUUUAAGGCCAUCUGGCACACACCACUCACCUGUCCAUCAUUUGAGACACAAUGCUACCUCUGCGUUCAGAGAGACCUGCUGUUCUCUCUAUUACUGUCAUUUGUUGACAUCAAGAAAUGGAGGUUAUGGAAAACGUUGUUUGUGAAUAAAACAACCACCACCUAAUUGGCAGCUGCCUUCUGUCUAGUUCCCUUGUUUUGGGGGAGGAUAUGUGUGUGUAAUUCUGUCCUUACAGUUCUCUGUGGUCCUGUUGUAAAUUGAGAGAGUGACAGACCUGAUCACAAAACCAAGCUUUUAGCCAUUUUGGCUUAAAUGCUAGGCUAGUGUUCCUGACCUUUUUGCUGAUGCUAAUAGUUCUUUCCUAGUUUCCCAUGGUCUGCAGGAAAUUAAUCAUGAUGGAUUUUACUAUGGUAAAAUGACUUCAGAGAUUCUAGUUUAGUUGUACUAGGAAAAUUAUUUUUGAGUUUUCACUGAAUAAUUGCAAAGUGAGGAUGGGUACAAUUGAAUGAGUGCAACAGCAAUGAAAAAUGCAGGUAGAGGCAUGAAUUCGUAGAAUUAUAGAAAUGUAGGGCUGGAAGGAACCUCAAGAGGUCAUCUUAUCCAGCCCCCUCAUGCUGAGGCAGGAUUAAGUAUACCUAGACCAUCCCUGACAGCUGUUUGAAGGUUUUUAAGAACAGGUUAGACAAUGACAGAUUCUGUAAUCUCCCUAGGUGACCUGUUUCAGUGCUGAACUAAGUUACAAAAUUUUUCUGGAGAUCUAAUCUAAAUCUCCUUUGCUGCAGAACUAGCCAGUUACUACAUGUACUAGCAUCAGAGGACGCAAAACACAAUCAAUUGUCAUUCUCUCCAUAACGGCCCAUAACAUAUUGGAAGACUUAUGUCCCCGCUCAGCCUUCUUGUCAGAUGAAACAUGCCCAAUUCUUUCAACUUUCCACAUAGGUCAUGUUUUGCAAGCUUCUUAACAUGUCUGUUCUUUUCUGGAUUCACUUCAGUUUGUUCACAUCUUUCUUAAAGCGUGGCACUGUACAGUGGACCCAGUGCUCCAGCUGCAGCCACACCCGCACUGCAUAGAACAGGACAGUUAUCUCCCAUGUCUUACUUACAACCCUCUGGUUAAUACAUCCCAGAAUGACAUUUGUCCUUUUAGCAUCACACUAUUGACUCAUAUUCAAUUUGUGAUCCACUGUAACCCCCAGAUGCUUUUCUGCAGUAUUGGUGCCUAGCCUAUUAUUUUCCAUUUGUGCAUUUGAUUUUUUCCUUUCUAAGUGCAGUACUUUUGCACUUGUCUUUAUUGAAUUUCAUCCUUAUUGUACAAGGGGAGACAAAAGCUUUAAUCGGACAUUCUGAAAAUAAGAUAAAAGGCACAUCAAGUGGACUAAGUCCAUUAAAAUGACAAUAUCCCUAGAUAGAAGCAAUCGACUUAAUAAGCAGGGCUAGCAUAGCAUAACAUAAAUGUCUUGUUAUAGCACCAUAAGCCUACAGGGGGUGCUUUACAGGCAAAGCCAAUGAUAACACACAGUGGCUGCAAGCUAGAAGGCUAAAAUGGCAGCACUUCCAAAGAUGGGAGUCAGAGAAUCAGAAGACAAGUCUUAGGCCUUGUCUACACUACAGUGGGAGAUCGAUCUAAGGUACGCAACUUCAGCUGUGUGAAUAACAUAGCUGAAGUCGACAUACUUAGAUCUACUUACCGUGCAGGGGCAGCGAGUUGUAUGGGUGUGUGGUGCCCAUGCUCCACUAAUAUGAGAGCAUAGGGGCCCGGCUCCACCAAAGUUCGGAGUAGGGUCUCUACCCAGGCCCUGCCUGCCACCCUCAGGCAAUUUAAAAGGGCCUGGGGCCCCCACUGCCAGUGCAACGGGGCUAAGGCAGUUUCCUGCCCACUCCGCUUCCGGAAGUGGCCGGCCUGUCCCUCCUACACCCCAACCCCCUUCCCCAGUCCAGAUCCCACACCCAAACUCCCUCCCAGAGCCUUGGGGAGGGGGUGGGACUUGGACCCAUUCUGGGGCACGACCAAAAAUUAUACAAACCUGCCGCCCCUGUUACCGCGGGGUUCACACUAUGCUAUGGAGUCAUAGAUUAAAGUUAUCACCAAAAGAAUAGGUUUGCGGUGGGUGAGAGCAAGAAACAGAUGUACCUGUUACUAUUGAUUGUAUAGUGGUUCUAUGAUUCUAUGGUGACAGGAGAGUGUUCUGUGGUCGAUUUCGCAGGUCUUCACUAGACCCGCUAAAUCGACCACUGAUGCAUCAAUCGCCGCGUGUCGAUCCCCCAGUAAGUGUAGACAAGCCCUUAGUUUUAGGUUAACUUCCAACUUGAAAUGCUCACAAACCCUGUUCGUAGUGCUCACACUUUCAAGUUAAGUAAUUGAUCCCCCACAUCAAUUAAAAUAUUUUAUUUUAAACCCAGAAAGUUAAGAAAUUUGCAAUCUAUCAAAAGGUAAAUUGCCCAAAGGAGCCUGUGCAAACACUUCCAGCAUGGAUUACAGCACAGAAUUUACUGUCAUUCCACUGUGACUUUACUGCUGUUAACAAAGUCAUUAUAUACCCUAAUAUAGUCAGAACUAGACUGCCCAGUGCUUACACUACAGCCACAAAUUGCAUUUCCUGACUAAUUCAUCUAAAACAUAAUAUUCACACCAUAAAAUCAACAUUAAGAGUGUGAAGGGAACCCAUACCCAGCAAAGAAACAUAAGGUCAAAAGUCUCUAUUUUAUUACCCAGUAUUUUGUGCUGCAGUGAUCCUGAUUUUGUUCAUUAUGUCGUUAAAUCCUCCAAUUUACCUGUUUAACUGAAAUCCUCAAGGAAUGCUCUGAUGUACCCCAACACACAACACAAUGCUAGAGGUGCUUUUUGCCCAGCAUGCCUGGUACAGUAGGCAGCAAAUUGUUUAAUACUCAGUAAUAAAUACUUAGCACCAUAUAGUGCUUUCCACCUCCAAAAUGCUGAAAAAUGUUAAUCAAUCAGUCCUUGCCCUGGACCCUGUGAGGUGGUAUAAGGUUAUUAUAUAGACAGGGAUACUGAGGCCCAGAAAGGCUAAGUGACUGACUCAGGGUUCUGCACAUUGCAAGUUAAUGAUAGAUUGCAUUAGACGGCAUUUAACUUUACCUUGCUCGGGAUAUGUAGUUUGCAUAGAUAUAGCAUCAUUUAAGUUUCAUUUCAUGAUAGUUGAAAUAAGUUGUGCAGGAACACUGUGUCCAUGAAUGAGCAAUUGUGGUGUAUUCUCAGAAGUGUUGUAGACCAUUUAAUUUCCUCAUGUUUCCUCCUCCUUUCAGCCAGAUAGCAUUUUGUCAGGGGAAAGGCAUUGCAGCAGAUAGGUUCCCUGCUAGGCCAGUCACAGAUCAGGGUUGUACUGCUUAACGUGAUUAAUACAUUUUACCUCUUUAUGCACAACCCAGUGUUUCACAUAAAUAUUUUGACACCUCUUACUGUGCCUAGUUAGAAACUGCAAAUAUAAUAUACAAGGACUAAAGCUUCCAAACCCAGUGUUUUACAUUUGCUCAUAAAACUGUAACUCCUAGAUGGUGGGCUGCUACUGAGAUCUCUGGGGCACAGGGUACAAAGAGGUGAGCACCAGCCCCUCUGGUAGCACUGAGCACACCAAAAGCUCAAACAUUAUAAAAGUUAAGGGGCCAGAUUGAGCUCAGUCUGGAAUUUCAUAAGUUCAGUGACGUAUAUUUAUUAAUGUAGUUCUGAAAAUGGGGUAAACAGAUUCCAAGGCCAGAAGGGACCAUUACAUCGUCCUUUAAAGAGCAGCAACUAAGUAAUUUAGCAUUUAAGAAUUAAGAUCUUCAUUUACAAGUAGACUGAGAUUGAUUGGCAAUAAAAGUCUUGCUGCUGUGAUAUUAAUGGACAUGAUUGACUGCUCUAAGGACUGACUGACUGACUGUAUAUCACCAUGCCCUCAGCUAUAGUUUACUAUGAAAGUGAUCAUGCAGAGUAAGAGACGGAUUUGGGGAGCACCGAGAAAGGUUGUUAGGCACUGAAGGUGACUGGUGAGUUGCUAGUGGCACCGUUACUUUAAAAUGGGUAUAGCAUUUUCUAGUAUAGGUGCAGGCCUGGAUGAGUGAAGACAGUAAAAGCUCAGACAGGUCCUUCCAGUAAGUGAGGUCAAUAGUAGUAGGUAAGAAGCCACAGGCCAUAAGCAAGCAGAAAAAUGAGGAAAGACAAAGGAAUCAUUGGCAGGCCACUUUCCACCUGGAAAUCUGUUGAGACAAGGGCUGGUGAUUGGAUGUGUGAAUGUAAUGAAUUUAUGUUUUCCUUCCAAACAAGGUAGGUCCGGCUUCACUCAGGCCUCUACUUUACAAGGAAACAAACAUUUCUUUGCCUAACCAAAGCACGCAAGGAAUGCCCCUUUGAAACUGCCUAGAGCCAAGUCAGUAGCGAUCCAGGAACAGAAAGAAACAGUAUGCACGCUGGUUGGUGGCUGUGAACAUAAAUUUGGAGGACUCCAGGUGCCACUUUGAUUUUCCCUCUUGCCUCCUACUUCAGGGAUCCAUGUCAUAGUAACCUCUUUCUUCUGGCAGAAGAAGGCUGGAUGGAGUUCCAUUCAGAAGCCCACUUGUGCUGGAAAGGAAACCCCACGAAAACUCCCAAAUACCUAUGUCAGUGACUUUAAGGACUUGUCUACACUUAAAAUGCUACAGUGGCAGAGCUGCACCACUGGACCUGCACCACUUUAGCACUUCACAGUAGACACUACUUACACCAACAGGAGGUACCUACCGUCAGCAAAGGUAAUGCACGUCUUCGGUGGCUAGGGUGAUGGAAGAAUUCAGUUGACCUUGCUGGUCUACGCGGGGGGGGGGGGGGUCAGAUCAGUGUAACUACAUCUCUUAGGGGUGUGGAUUUUUCACACCUCAGAGACACAAGCUAUACUGAAGUAAAUUCCUAGUAUAGAGCAAGCCAAAGAUACAUGGUUAAGCUCUCAUCAGAAUAUAGCAAAGCUGCAGCUGCAUAUGUCAUUUUAAUUAUAACUGCUUGUCAAUCUGCAUUUUUAUGGACUGUUUUUCAAAUAUACUUUUUCCUACAACCUUAGGUAAAUGAGCCCUGCUAACAUCCUUUAGGUCCUUCAAGUCAGAAGAAAAGAAGGUUGUGUAGCUGGCUGGGAGGAAAAUGUGUAGUCUUUGGCUGCUGACUAAAUUAAGAUACUUAACGGAAAAAGACUUUUUUUAUACAAGUCUAAAUCAAUGGCAUGCUAGACUAUUAUGACAAUGAAAAUAGUAUAUGUAUGCGUGAAUGGAAAUACAAUGCAAAAUGCUACGCAGGCAUAGCUAAAAUAGUAUGGUAUGUUUGAGAAUAUGUGAUUAUUAAAUUCAAAAGUAAUGCAUUCACGUGCACAUGGGGCAGAAUUAAGGUUAUGUGCAUGAUCUUGAAUCUUUUUAACUCUUAAGUACUUAAUUUUGAAACCUUAAUAUUUUUGUUUUUUUAAAAUAUAUACAAACAAUUUAUGUACAUAGGGUCACUAGUUUCCAUUGUGCUCUGUAGACAAAUAGGAAGAUAAGGACAUUGUAAGCUUCUCAAGGCAAUCAUAAGAGGAUGACAAUUUGUAGAGGGGAAAUGGAAAGAAGACAAAUCCAAAGGGGGGGGAAGUGUACACCGCAGAUUCCUUCAUUCCUCCCUCCCUCCCUCCGAACUUUCAGCAGUUUGCUUUGCCUCAUCCCCAUCCCCUGAGUGAGAAAAGAAGCAUACUGUAGUAGAAUGUAAUUUAAUGAGGUUGCUACCAUCGCUCUCAUGAAAUGAAACAUACCAAUCUAACUCCAUUAUCCAAGAUGAAUGAAAUGAAGGUAGUAAACAGUACAAGUGAAAACUAAACUAGAUAUUUAAAACUCUUGAACUAUUAAUCUAAGGUAUGAUUAGUAAAACUGUGGAAAUUUUUUUUUUUACUUCAUGGUAGUCCUUUAAAUGCUAAUAAAUCUUGUCAAAUUGGUUUGCUUACUAUUGUCGUUGAACAAUUGUGCCAUCUUACAGAGGGCUCCUGCACUACAGUUUGUUUGGUGGUAGAAGGCAUUCUCCCCCAGCCCAUCAUGUACUUCCAUUAGUGUCAUGCCUGUCUUUAUCUGGGAAUGUUAAUUUCUUACAUAUUGUUACUUACACACCCAAUUGAUUCAGUUAAUAUGCAUGUUCAAAUGUAGUCAGGCACCUGCAUUACAGAACUCCUUUGAUGGAUUAAUAGAGGGAUUUCAGUUAGGUUAAAUGUGUUAUAAGGCAAUGGCCACCUGAAUUGUUGCUAGUUGAAGAAAAGAUUGACCUUGUUUAUAAGCAAGAAUAGUCUGAAUUACUCUGUCUCACUUUCCAAAUCACCUGACAGAAAGGAGACUGCAAACCUCUAGAGCCCAAAAUAGCUGCUCAGUUUAUGAAUGUGGAGGAAGAUGGAGAGCCUUCUCAAACAUUCAGUCUAGCACCAGCUGUCUGUUGUCUGUUACAGGUGCAAGCAGCUGAGAUGCUUGUCUAAAAACAGCUGCCAGCUGCAAACCCAUGCACCUAUAGUAACAACCAGUGAUUGGCAGGUACCAUGCUGGGUUUGUGAUGACCCUUGAUCGUUCUGGGCAAUUUAUCCAGUGUAGAAAUUCCAUGGUAAUCCAGGGAGGUUAAAGGAAGUUGUUACAGCUGGGAAAUUGAAUGCCAUAUGAUUCUUACAUUCAGCUUAUCAGCAAAGCAGAGAGUGACAUCUCCUCAGCUUUUGGAAGGCUAGUAGUAAUACUUUCUUCGCGGUAAAACUGAACUAUUAGCUUCCCAAAAACGUUUUAUAGAUGCCAAUGAAAAAAUGAUAAAAAUAACCUGUAGGAGGUUUUCUUUUCCAUUCAUAAAAAUUAGAACUUUCGUGCUCAAAAACAUUGAAACCCUUCUAAAAAACAGAAAUUCCACAACACACUAGGUCACAAAAUAGUUUAUAGAAAGUUCAGCUAAAAGGAGGGGUGCUAGUGAGGUUUAAGGAAUGGGAAUGAACUGUGUCAUGGAAAAUGUUCAAAAUAGGUAGGGCAGGACAAGUGUAGACAAAAGUAGAGAGUUCAGAGAAGAGGCAGAGCAGAGACUCGAGUAAAGUGAUCAAGUAAGGAGACAGGAUAAUAUGAGGUCAUACAAGUAGAACGGUGGGGUGUUCUGAAAAGCAAUUGGAUGCAAUCACAUAUAUAUCACGUGCAUCCCAUCCAUCUGCAGUAUUUAAAGAGAACCAAUCACUGUAAGACCUAAGCAUAUUUACAUAUGCAUAUGGUUGUUAACCUCUGAGAACAGGACAAGAAGCAAUGGGCUUAAACUGCAGCAAGGACAGUUUAGGUUGGACAUUAGAAAAAACACUUCCUUUCAGGGUAGUUAAGCACUGGAAUAAACUGCCUAUGGAGGUUAUGGAAUCUCCAUAAUUGGAGGUUUUUAAGAGCAGGAUAGACAAACACCUAGACCAUUGCUAGCAGAUCAGGGGUGGGCAAACUAUGGCCCUGCAGAUGUUUUAAUCCAGCCCUCGAGUUCCUGUCAGGGAGUGGGGUUGGGGGCUUGUCCUGCUCCGCGUGUGCUGUGGCUCCCAGAAGUAGUGGCAUGUCCCUCCUCCGGCUCCUAUGUGUAGGGGCAGCCAGGGGGCUCCACACGCUAUCUCCUACCCCCGCCCGGGAAUCGCGGGCAAUGGGAGCUACAGGGGCUUGCGGAUGGGGCAGCCUGCAGAACCGCCUAGCAACACCGCUGUGUAGGAGCCGGAGGGGAGACAUGCCACUGCUUCUGGGAGCCUCUUGAGGUAAGUGCAAUCCGGAGCCUGCACCCCGACCUCCUCCUGUGCCCCAACCCCC